rnacentral:rRNA from 1 species
CCUACGGGAGGCAGCAGUGAGGAAUAUUGGUCAAUGGUCGGGAGACUGAACCAGCCAAGCCGCGUGAGGGAUGAAGGUACAGAGUAUCGUAAACCUCUUUUGCCGGGGAGCAACGGGGUCCUUGCGAGGGCCCGAUGAGAGUACCCGGAGAAAAAGCAUCGGCUAACUCCGUGCCAGCAGCCGCGGUAAUACGGAGGAUGAGAGCGUUAUCCGGAUUUAUUGGGUUUAAAGGGUGCGUAGGCGGGCUGGUAAGUCAGCGGUCAAAUGUCGGGGCACAACCCCGGCCUGCCGUUGAAACUGGCGGCCUCGAGUGGGCGAGAAGUAUGCGGAAUGCGUGGUGUAGCGGUGAAAUGCAUAGAUAUCACGCAGAACUCCGAUUGCGAAGGCAGCAUACCGGCGCCCGACUGACGCUGAGGCACGAAAGCGUGGGUAUCGAACAGGAUUAGAUACCCCUGUAGUC